rnacentral:lncRNA from 1 species
UUGAUUCUUCCUCCUAGCUUCUUCUUCAUUACAAUGCUCAGUAGCCUUCCAUGAAAAACCUUAUUCAUGGGUUUAUCUGUAGAUUUCUUCAUCUCAGCCUUUUCCAGCCAUUUGGAAAUUUGAUCUAGUAAGAUAACUCCAAAGUUGAUUUAUCUUCUUUGAACUAUUGCAGACAUAAUCUUUAGUUGUUGAUCAAGCACCGUGUUGUGUACAGUUUCCUUGCAUAGUAUGCAUU